rnacentral:rRNA from 1 species
UACGUAGGGGGCAAGCGUUGUCCGGAAUCAUUGGGCGUAAAGAGCGUGUAGGCGGCCCGAUAAGUCCGCUGUGAAAGUCCAGGGCUCAACCCUGGAAUGCCGGUGGAUACUGUCGGGCUAGAGUGCGGAAGAGGCGAGUGGAAUUCCUGGUGUAGCGGUGAAAUGCGCAGAUAUCAGGAGGAACACCUAUUGCGAAGGCAGCUCGCUGGGACGUAACUGACGCUGAGACGCGAAAGCGUGGGGAGCAAACAGG